AGACGUCUACGUAGUUGAUCAGUGGCUCAGGACGAACGCUGGCGGCGUGCUUAACACAUGCAAGUCGAACGGUAAGGCCCUUCGGGGUACACGAGUGGCGAACGGGUGAGUAACACGUGGGUGAUCUGCCCUGCACUUCGGGAUAAGCCUGGGAAACUGGGUCUAAUACCGGAUAGGACUCCGGACUGCAUGGUCUGGGGUGGAAAGCUUUUGCGGUGUGGGAUGGGCCCGCGGCCUAUCAGCUUGUUGGUGGGGUGAUGGCCUACCAAGGCGACGACGGGUAGCCGGCCUGAGAGGGUGUCCGGCCACACUGGGACUGAGAUACGGCCCAGACUCCUACGGGAGGCAGCAGUGGGGAAUAUUGCACAAUGGGCGCAAGCCUGAUGCAGCGACGCCGCGUGGGGGAUGACGGCCUUCGGGUUGUAAACCUCUUUCAGUAGGGACGAAGCGCAAGUGACGGUACCUAUAGAAGAAGCACCGGCCAACUACGUG
rnacentral:rRNA from 1 species